rnacentral:rRNA from 1 species
CGAAUUUAGCCAUGCUAGUCGCACGAGUUCAGACUCGUGGCGAAUAGCUCAGUAACACGUGGCCAAACUACCCUUCGGACCACCAUACCCUCGGGAAACUGAGGCUAAUAGUGCAUACCACACUCAUCCUGGAAUGACGAGUGUGCCAAACGCUCCGGCGCCGAAGGAUGUGGCUGCGGCCGAUUAGGUAGACGGUGGGGUAACGGCCCACCGUGCCAAUAAUCGGUACGGGUCAUGAGAGUGAGAACCCGGAGACGGAAUCUGAGACAAGAUUCCGGGCCCUACGGGGCGCAGCAGGCGCGAAACCUUUACACUGCACGACAGUGCGAUAAGGGAAUCCCAAGUGCACAGGCAUAGAGCCUGUGCUUUUGUACACCCUAGGGCGGUAUACGAAUAAGGGCUGGGCAAGACCGGUGCCAGCCGCCGCGGUAAUACCGGCAGCCCAAGUGAUGGCCGAUCUUAUUGGGCCUAAAGCGUCCGUAGCUGGCCGCACAAGUCCAUCGGGAAAUCCACCUGCCCAACAGGUGGACGCCCGGUGGAAACUGUGUGGCUUGGGACCGGAAGGCGCGACGGGUACGUCCGGGGUAGGAGUGAAAUCCCGUAAUCCUGGACGGACCACCGAUGGCGAAAGCACGUCGCGAAAACGGAUCCGACAGUGAGGGACGAAAGCCAGGGUCUCGAACCGGAUUAGAUACCCGGGUAGUCCUGGCCGUAAACAAUGUCUGUUAGGUGUGGCUCCCACUACGAGUGGGUGCUGUGCCGUAGGGAAGCCGCUAAACAGACCGCCUGGGAAGUACGUCCGCAAGGAUGAAACUUAAAGGAAUUGGGCGGGGGAGCACUACAACCGGAGGAGCCUGCGGUUUAAUUGGACUCAACGCCGGACAUCUCACCAGCAUCGACUGUAGUAAUGACGACCAGGUUGAUGACCUUGUCCGAGCUUCAGAGAGGAGGUGCAUGGCCGCCGUCAGCUCGUACCGUGAGGCGUCCUGUUAAGUCAGGCAACGAGCGAGACCCGCAUCCGUACUUGCCAGCAGUACUUCACAGUAGCUGGGGACAGUACGGAGACCGCCGUGGCCAACACGGAGGAAGGAACGGGCAACGGUAGGUCAGUAUGCCCCGAAUGUGCUGGGCAACACGCGGGCUACAAUGGUCGAGACAAAGGGUUCCUACUCCGAAAGGAGACGGUAAUCUCAGAAACUCGAUCGUAGUUCGGAUUGUGGGCUGCAACUCGCCCACAUGAAGCUGGAUUCGGUAGUAAU